rnacentral:rRNA from 1 species
UACGGGGGGGGCAAGCGUUGUUCGGAAUUACUGGGCGUAAAGGGCUCGUAGGUGGCCAACUAAGUCAGACGUGAAAUCCCUCGGCUUAGCCGGGGAACUGCGUCUGAUACUGGAUGGCUUGAGAUUGGGAGAGGGAUGCGGAAUUCCAGGUGUAGCGGUGAAAUGCGUAGAUAUCUGGAGGAACACCGGUGGCGAAGGCGGCUUCCUGGACCGACACUGACGCUGAGGCGCGAAAGCUAGGGGAGCAAACGGG